AUUGAACGCUGGCGGCAGGCCUAACACAUGCAAGUCGAGCGGAGCGGCGGACGGGUGAGUAAUGCCUAGGAAUCUGCCUGGUAGUGGGGGAUAACGUCGGGAAAGGGGCGCUAUAACCGCUUACUAUCAGAUGAGCCUGGGCCGGAUUGGCUAGUGGGUGGGGUAAAGGCCUACCAAGGCGACGAUCCGUAACUGGUCUGAGAGGAUGAUCAGUCACACUGGAACUGAGACACGGUCCAGACUCCUACGGGAGGCAGCAGUGGGGAAUAUUGGACAAUGGGCGAAAGCCUGAUCCAGCCAUGCCGCGUGUGUGAAGAAGGUCUUCGGAUUGUAAAGCACUUUAAGUUGGGAGGCGUUACCAACAGAAUAAGCACCGGCUAACUUCGUGCCAGCAGCCGCGGUAAUUC
rnacentral:rRNA from 1 species